rnacentral:rRNA from 1 species
AGUGAACGCUGGCGGUAGGCCUAACACAUGCAAGUCGAACGGCAGCACAGUAAGAGCUUGCUCUUACGGGUGGCGAGUGGCGGACGGGUGAGGAAUACAUCGGAAUCUACUUUUUCGUGGGGGAUAACGUAGGGAAACUUACGCUCAUACCGCAUACGACCUACGGGUGAAAGCAGGGGAUCUUCGGACCUUGCGCGAUUGAAUGCGCCGAUGUCGGAUUAGCUAGUUGGCGGGGUAAAGGCCCACCAAGGCGACGAUCCGUAGCUGGUCUGAGAGGAUGAUCGGCCACACUGGAACUGAGACACGGUCCAGACUCCUACGGGAGGCAGCAGUGGGGAAUAUUGGACAAUGGGCGCGAGCCUGAUCCAGCCAUACCGCGUGGGUGAAGAAGGCCUUCGGGUUGUAAAGCCCUUUUGUUGGGAAAGAAAAGCAGCAGGUUAAUACCCCGCUGUUCUGACGGUACCCAAAGAAUAAGCACCGGCUAACUUCGUG